rnacentral:rRNA from 1 species
UACAGAGGCCUCAAGCGUUAGGCGGAAUCACUGGGCUUAAAGCGUGUGUAGGCGGACUUCUAAGUACCUUGUGAAAUCCCACGGCUUAACUGUGGAACUGCUUGGUAUACUGGUUGUCUUGAGCCACUCAGGGGCGAGCGGAACAAAUGGUGGAGCGGUGAAAUGCGUAGAUAUUGGGAAGAACACCGGUGGCGCAAGCGACUUGCUGGGCCAUUACUGACGCUGAGGAACGAAAGCUAGGGGAGCGAAUGGG